UUUCUUUUUCUUUUUUGAUCAAUGAGUUAAAGAUUGCUGGUUAGCCUUGAUACAUGGGAGGUUUAACCUUCCUUGAUUCAAAUCUAAUUCAACUUGAUCAUGGAUCAAGUGAAUGACUUUGCAUUAAGGAUAGGUUACUUCCUAAUCAAGCAAAGAACCUAAAUCAAUAAAAGAUCAUUUCUCAUUUUCUUUUGGCAUGGCAAGUUGUAGGAGCUUGAUUCACUAAUCAAGAUCUCUGACUUGUGUUGUUGCCUACAUUAUUAUUGAC
rnacentral:lncRNA from 1 species